ensembl:misc_RNA
UUUACAUCAUUGAAGACUUAAGUCCUCUAUUUAGCCAUAGAACUGUUACAGUAUUUCUAGCAAUAGUGCAGGUUUCCCUUCCCAAUACUGCCCUGCAAAUGAAUCUCAACCCUGUUAUGGAGGGAUCACCUCUGUAACUGAAAGAGUCGUUCAUUUGCAUGUUGCAUUAAUUCCUAGAUUUAU